rnacentral:rRNA from 1 species
GACGAACGCUGGCGGCGUGCUUAACACAUGCAAGUCGAACGGAAAGGCCUCUGCUUGCAGGGGUGCUCGAGUGGCGAACGGGUGAGUAACACGUGGGUGAUCUGCCUUGUACUCUGGGAUAAGCUUGGGAAACUGGGCCUAAUACCGGAUAGGAACUGCCUUUAGUGUGGUGGUUGGAAAGUUUUUUCGGUGCAAGAUGAGCUCGCGGCCUAUCAGCUUGUUGGUGGGGUAAUGGCCUACCAAGGCGUCGACGGGUAGCCGGCCUGAGAGGGUGUACGGCCACAUUGGGACUGAGAUACGGCCCAGACUCCUACGGGAGGCAGCAGUGGGGAAUAUUGCACAAUGGGCGGAAGCCUGAUGCAGCGACGCCGCGUGGGGGAUGACGGCCUUCGGGUUGUAAACUCCUUUCGACAGGGACGAAGCGCAAGUGACGGUACCUGUAUAAGAAGCACCGGCUAACUACGUGCCAGCAGCCGCGGUAAUACGUAGGGUGCGAGCGUUGUCCGGAAUUACUGGGCGUAAAGAGCUCGUAGGUGGUUUGUCGCGUCGUCUGUGAAAUUCCGGGGCUUAACUCCGGGUGUGCAGGCGAUACGGGCAUAACUUGAGUGCUGUAGGGGAGACUGGAAUUCCUGGUGUAGCGGUGAAAUGCGCAGAUAUCAGGAGGAACACCGAUGGCGAAGGCAGGUCUCUGGGCAGUUACUGACGCUGAGGAGCGAAAGCAUGGGUAGCGAACAGGAUUAGAUACCCUGGUAGUCCAUGCCGUAAACGGUGGGCGCUAGGUGUAGGGGGCUUCCACGUCUUCUGUGCCGUAGCUAACGCAUUAAGCGCCCCGCCUGGGGAGUACGGCCGCAAGGCUAAAACUCAAAGGAAUUGACGGGGGCCCGCACAAGCGGCGGAGCAUGUGGAUUAAUUCGAUGCAACGCGAAGAACCUUACCUGGGCUUGACAUACACCAGAUCGCUGCAGAGAUGUAGUUUCCCUUGUGGUUGGUGUACAGGUGGUGCAUGGUUGUCGUCAGCUCGUGUCGUGAGAUGUAGGGUUAAGUCCCGCAACGAGCGCAACCCUUGUCUUAUGUUGCCAGCAUUUGGUUGGGGACUCAUGAGAGACUGCCGGGGUUAACUCGGAGGAAGGUGGGGAUGACGUCAAAUCAUCAUGCCCCUUAUGUCCAGGGCUUCACACAUGCUACAAUGGUCGGUACAACGCGCGGCGACACUGUGAGGUGGAGCGAAUCGCUGAAAGCCGGUCUUAGUUCGGAUUGGGGUCUGCAACUCGACCCCAUGAAGUCGGAGUCGCUAGUAAUCGUAGAUCAGCAAUGCUGCGGUGAAUACGUUCCCGGGCCU